rnacentral:rRNA from 1 species
UACGUAGGGGGCAAGCGUUGUCCGGAUUUAUUGGGCGUAAAGAGCGUGUAGGCGGCUAGGUAGGUCCGUUGUGAAAACUCGAGGCUCAACCUCGAGACGUCGAUGGAAACCAUCUAGCUAGAGUCCGGAAGAGGAGAGUGGAAUUCCUGGUGUAGCGGUGAAAUGCGCAGAUAUCAGGAGGAACACCGGUGGCGAAGGCGGUUCUCUGGGCCUGUACUGACGCUGAGGAACGAAAGCGUGGGGAGCGAACAGG